GCUGUGGUUUUGGUUUUGAUUAUUCCGUUAAUGCUGAGUCUGUUUCACAAACGAGAUUAGCAGAAUUAAUUAUUGAAGAUGCAGUAUGCUUUAUGGUUUUAAUAACACUGUUAAAAACUAAACAAGGAAGUUAAAUAUGUUGAUGAUUAUCGGUGACUGCUCACCACACAGCAUCCCUCAGGCCGAGUCAGUUGGCCCAGUGACUCCCACAUCACAAACUGCCCUUUCUUGGUCAGAAGAAGCAGAGUGGAGCCUUCUCAUCCCCACGCGCGCAGCUGUGGGGCCCCGUGGUCACCUGGCCACAUGGGAGUUUGCAUACUGAGUGGUUCAUCUUUUCCAAUGUGUUGUGUCCUUUAAUUUACAUUUAUAUUUCAUUGCCCUUUCUAAUGAUCAGAACAGCACAUCUUGUUAUAGAAAAUUAGGAAAAUAAAUAAAAUUACAGUAAAAUUAUA
rnacentral:lncRNA from 1 species